UACGUAGGCAGCGAGCGUUGUUCGGAAUUACUGGGCGUAAAGAGUGUGUAGGCGGUGUUCCCAGUCUGUUGUGAAAUCUCCCGGCUUAACUGGGAGGGUGCAGCGGAAACUAGAAUGCUAGAGGGUGGGAGAGGUAAGCGGAAUUCCUGGUGUAGCGGUGAAAUGCGUAGAUAUCAGGAGGAACACCAAUAGCGAAGGCAGCUCGCUGGGACGUUACUGACACUGAGGCGCGAAAGCGUGGGGAGCGAACAGG
rnacentral:rRNA from 1 species